UUUCGAUUAAAUUAAAAAUUAUCAAAAUCGGUACACCCAGUAAAAAGUUAUUACGGAUUUUCGAGAGCUUCCCUCGAUUUCUCUGGGAUCCCAUCAUGAGAUCCUGGUUUCCUUAUCACGGUACCAAACUAGGGAUAUCCCCUUUCCAACAAAAAAAGAAUUAUCAAAAUCGGUACAUCCAGUAGAAAGUUAUGCGGUAUAAUACAACGUAGGUCGACGAAAAAAGCGUCAAGUAAAAACGCAUUAUUAGAUAUAACUCGAAAAGUAGUUGUUAGAUCUCAAAUAAAUUUAAAUGGGACCAAUUGGCAGACACCACCUUUCGAUUAAAACAAAAUUUGUCGAAAUCGGUCUACCCGGUCAAAAGUUCUGAUGUAACUUACAUAACAAAAAAAAAUACAGUCGAAUUGAGAACCUCCUCCUUUUUUGGAAGUCGGUUAAAAAAAGUGUGUGCGUAUUCUUAUGUAUAGUCAUGUAUGAUGGCUAUACAGUGUCUAAUGUAUA
rnacentral:misc_RNA from 1 species